rnacentral:lncRNA from 1 species
GUUCAUUAUAAUAUUUUAUGUAUGUUAAGAACUGUUUGGUACUUUGACAAAUAAUGACACUGGAAUUUUUAUUGUGGUUGAAAUCGUUAAUCUAUGGUGCACUAUGUUAUUACUGCUGCAGGUUCUGCUGACAAAAUUGAAGAGUCUACCUCCAUUAUUCGAAGAAACGCCAAAUGCAAUCCAUGAAUUGACACUAGCAAGUAACAUUUCGCCCCUAAUAUGACCUGAGAUCUUUCGUGUAAUUCUUCUUGAUUUCCUUUGAAAUUUUUGUUUUGAUUGACUAUUAAUAUUGGUUACUGCAACAUUGUUCAGGGGAAAUAUAUGAGCAUGCGGUUGUUUUAAGUGUGAAGAUUGAGGAUUUGGAUGCUUUUGAGAGGGACUUUUUCCAACUGAAACCUUACUACACAGAUGCACGGUAAGUUGGUAUCUAUACAUUAUUAUAUGUCAAUGCUCAUGUUACCAUGUUUGUACAGUACAUGACAGAGAGGGUGGCAAAAAAGGGGCUGAGCGUUGUAAUCACUUUUGAAAAUGAUCUCUUUUUAUCGUACUUGUUCUUUUUUUUAAUAUAAAUAAAAUAAGAGGACUUCUUCCACAACCUCUUUCAUGAGACAAAGUGAUGUCUGAGUUGAUCCAUACAUCACAUUUUUUGAAUAUUAAUCCUCCGUUUGGAUACAAAUUUGUAAAUGGUUUUUAAAUUCAGUCAAAUUCAAAUAUAAUUUCAACCACACAUAUUAACCCUAUUCAUUACUAUCCACACAUUUUGUGGAACCCACUACCAUUCCUUUUUAUAAACCAUUUAUAAAUUUGCCAAAGGGAAGCUAAAUUGAUGGUUAUUUUCUUUGUCAUUGGGGUUGAAAAUGCAAUAACCUCAAGCAGUUAAGAACUAGGGGCCAAGUGGACACGCAGAGUUUAUUCUUAUGGAUGCUGUCAAAAGAAACUUGGACAUGUUGAGAUUUCCAAAAAAAUGACAAUAUAUGCUGUCUGUCUCACAUUGAAACUCUACUUUCUUGGGAGUCUCAAUGCUUCUUAGAUGUACACAUUUUCCAGUGUUGUAUACAAUUUCAACGGUGUUGGGGGUGUUAUAAGCAUUGAUUUAAUAAAUUGGUACAUUUUGCUAACCUUUGUUUUUUCAAAGGUGACUCUAAUUUUGUGACAUUUUUACAUUUCUGUUUCAUUGAGCCCCGUUUGACAACCAUUAUUUGAACUCUUUUUUUUACAUAUUAAUUUUCAACCAAACAUUUGCACAAUAAAAUAUUCUGCAUGAACCCAAAACUUUUUUCCUAGUUUUUAACAAUACAUUCUCCUAAAAAUCACUAUUCAAAACAUUGUUUUUCCAAAAUAAUGGUUGUCAAACAGGAGCUGAAUAUGAUGUUUCACUUUCCAAUAUAUAACUUAAGAAGACAGUUUCACUAUGUCGGGUUUUUUAUUUUUAAGACAGUGCUUAUGGCCUUUAUUGCAUUUGAUUGUGCAGUGGCCGUCUUCCACAGUCCCCACAGGAGUAUCUGAUCUUGGGUCUCAACCUUCUGAGACUCCUUGUGCAGAACAGAAUUGCUGAAUUCCAUACUGAGUUGGAAUUACUAUCUGAUGUUGCUUUGGAAAAUCCUUGCAUCAAGCAUGCUGUUGAGUUGGAACAAUCCUUCAUGGAGGGAGCUUAUAACCGUGUUUUGAGUGCUAGACAAACCGUACCUCAUGAAACCUACGUUUAUUUUAUGGAUUUGCUGGCAAAUACUGUCAGGUAUGUUUUUUCCUCCCCAUUUUUGGGUUUCAUUUGCUAUUUCAUUUUCUUCUUGGUAGUUGGAGUUGAUUUAGAACUAAUAAUUACCAUUUGUUACAAAAGCCAAUGGGAAGAAGUAGCUUCUUUAGAUAUUUAGAUACUGUUGUCAUUUCCAUCAACCUACUUGGAUCAGUUUCAUGCACAUUAUCAUGAGCUACUAAUUUACUUUACUGUUGCCUUAAUUUUUUAUCGGAACUCUGCUGCAUAAGAUAGUCCUUAAUGUGGGCGUGCUAUACAUAGAUUUCCAGUUGUAUUUUUGCUCCUGAAAUUUUAUUUGUUGUUGGUAGGGACGAGAUAGCUGGAUGCAGCGAGAAGGCAUAUGACAGCCUUUCCAUAAAGGACGCACAGCAAAUUCUUCUGUUUUCUUCAGAUUAUGAACUGGUUGAAUACAUUAAGAAAGUAAGUGCCUUGCAACACAUUGCUCCAAACCUUCACUCUACAUAAACCCAACACUGUGGGGUAAUCAAGUUUCCAAAUUUGGCCUUCUGCUAAUUAAGCCCAUGUUUGAUAGAAUUUUUUUGGAAAAAAUGAGUUUUUGAAUGGUAAAUUUUUGGGGAAUAUGUAGUUAAAAAGUAGAAAAGAGUUUUGUGUUUACGUGAAGAAUAUUUUACUACGAGGAUGUGUGAUUGAAAAUUAGUAUGAAAAAAAUUGUCAAACAGGUGCCAAAUGGGAGCAGCACUAAUUGCUUGUUUGGUAUUGUAGAUGAUAUGAUAAUACGAAGGACAAUAUUAAAGAUAAGAACGAAGUAAAAUUUUAUUUAUUAAAAUGUUAAACCUUGACUAGUACGUUGAGCAUUUACCAUUUGCAAUAUGUAGGAGCAUCCCGAGUGGGAGAUUGAGAAUGGGUUUGUAUUUUUCCAACGAGCCAAAGAAUCGGUGCCUUGCAAGGAAAUUCCAUCUUUGCAACUUAUCAAUCAGACGCUCAGUUAUGCAAGGGAAUUGGAGCGCAUCGUGUGAGGGAUGUGCUGCCCAGUCGUUGUUUGUUCUUCCAUUUUCAUUAUAUUUGGUGGCUAAUCCGUUGUUUCUGUUUGGGAGUAUUUAUUAACUACAUCACAAAAUCCAGAAUGACAAAAUAUUUAAACGUUGUUGGAUUUUUUUAUUUUUUUUGUAUUUUGUCGAUUUGAAUCCAUUUUUCGUAUUUUGUUGUGUUCCCAACAGAAGGCAUAUAAAUCUAGUGGAUAUGAUCUUUUUACUUAUUGGCACAGACCAUUUUAGUGGAUGCACAUAGCAUUACCGAUGAGUGAUGAGUUACCAUAUGGCCCGUAUGGCAUGUCUUUUUGCUUCUACUUCAGAUAGAAGAGUUUUAAGAGAGUUAAGUUUUGUUUGGAAACUAAUUUUCAAAAGAAUUUUUAAUUUCAGAAGUGUCUUUAGAGGAAGAUACAAUGGAC